CCUACGGGUGGCAGCAGUAGGGAAUAUUGCUCAAUGGGGGAAACCCUGAAGCAGCAACGCCGCGUGGAGGAUGAAGGUUUUCGGAUUGUAAACUCCUUUUGUUAGAGAAGAUAAUGACGGUAUCUAACGAAUAAGCACCGGCUAACUCCGUGCCAGCAGCCGCGGUAAUACGGGGGGUGCAAGCGUUACUCGGAAUCACUGGGCGUAAAGAGCGCGUAGGCGGGAUAGCAAGUCAGAUGUGAAACCCUAUGGCUAAACAAUAGAACUGCAUUUGAAACGGUUAUUCUAGGGUUGGGGAAGGUAGGGGGAAUUCUUGGUGGAGGGGUAAAAACCGUA
rnacentral:rRNA from 1 species